CCCUUAGAUGUUCUGGGCUGCACGCGCGCUACACUGAUGCGCUCAACGAGUUUACGACCUUGCCCGGAAGGGUUGGGUAAUCUUUUUAAAACGCAUCGUGAUGGGGAUAGAUUAUUGCAAUUAUUAAUCUUUAACGAGGAAUUCCUAGUAAGCGCGAGUCAUCAGCUCGUGCUGAUUACGUCCCUGCCCUUUGUACACACCGCCCGUCGCUCCUACCGAUUGAAUGAUCCGGUGAAUAAUUCGGACUGCAGCAGUGUUCAGUUCCUGAACGUUGCAGCGGAAAGUUUAGUGAACCUUAUCACUUAGAGGAAGGGGAAGUCGUAACA
rnacentral:rRNA from 1 species